rnacentral:rRNA from 1 species
UACGUAGGGGGCAAGCGUUGUCCGGAUUUAUUGGGCGUAAAGAGCGUGUAGGCGGCCAGAUAGGUCUGCUGUGAAAACUCGAGGCUCAACCUCGAGCUGUCGGCGGAAACCAUUUGGCUAGAGUCCGGAAGAGGAGAGUGGAAUUCCUGGUGUAGCGGUGAAAUGCGCAGAUAUCAGGAAGAACACCUAUGGCGAAGGCAGCUCUCUGGGACGGUACUGACGCUGAGACGCGAAAAGCGUGGGGAGCGAACAGG